rnacentral:rRNA from 1 species
AGAGUUUGAUCCUGGCUCAGGACGAACGCUGGCGGCGUGCCUAAUACAUGCAAGUAGAACGCUGAAGAGAGGAGCUUGCUCUUCUUGGAUGAGUUGCGAACGGGUGAGUAACGCGUAGGUAACCUGCCUUGUAGCGGGGGAUAACUAUUGGAAACGAUAGCUAAUACCGCAUAACAAUGGAUGACACAUGUCAUUUAUUUGAAAGGGGCAAUUGUUCCACUACAAGAUGGACCUGCGUUGUAUUAGCUAGUAGGUGAGGUAAUGGCUCACCUAGGCGACGAUACAUAGCCGACCUGAGAGGGUGAUCGGCCACACUGGGACUGAGACACGGCCCAGACUCCUACGGGAGGCAGCAGUAGGGAAUCUUCGGCAAUGGGGGCAACCCUGACCGAGCAACGCCGCGUGAGUGAAGAAGGUUUUCGGAUCGUAAAGCUCUGUUGUAAGUCAAGAACGGGUGUGAGAGUGGAAAGUUCACACUGUGACGGUAGCUUACCAGAAAGGGACGGCUAACUACGUGCCAGCAGCCGCGGUAAUACGUAGGUCCCGAGCGUUGUCCGGAUUUAUUGGGCGUAAAGCGAGCGCAGGCGGUUUGAUAAGUCUGAAGUUAAAGGCUGUGGCUCAACCAUAGUUCGCUUUGGAAACUGUCAAACUUGAGUGCAGAAGGGGAGAGUGGAAUUCCAUGUGUAGCGGUGAAAUGCGUAGAUAUAUGGAGGAACACCGGUGGCGAAAGCGGCUCUCUGGUCUGUAACUGACGCUGAGGCUCGAAAGCGUGGGGAGCGAACAGGAUUAGAUACCCUGGUAGUCCACGCCGUAAACGAUGAGUGCUAGGUGUUGGAUCCUUUCCGGGAUUCAGUGCCGCAGCUAACGCAUUAAGCACUCCGCCUGGGGAGUACGACCGCAAGGUUGAAACUCAAAGGAAUUGAC